UACGUAGGGUGCAAGCGUUAAUCGGAAUUACUGGGCGUAAAGCGUGCGCAGGCGGUUGUGUAAGACAGAUGUGAAAUCCCCGGGCUCAACCUGGGAACUGCAUUUGUGACUGCACAGCUGGAGUGCGGCAGAGGGGGAUGGAAUUCCGCGUGUAGCAGUGAAAUGCGUAGAGAUGCGGAGGAACACCGAUGGCGAAGGCAGCCCCCUGGGCUAACACUGACGCUCAGGCACGAAAGCGUGGGGAGCAAACAGG
rnacentral:rRNA from 1 species